ACUCUAAGCAUAUCAAUAAKCGUGAGGAAAAGAAACCAACAGGGAUUGCCCUAGUAACGGCGAGUGAAGCGGCAACAGCUCAAAUUUGAAAUCUGGCCUUUGGGUCCGAGUUGUAAUUUGUAGAGGAUGCUUUUGGCGCGGUGCCUUCCGAGUUCCCUGGAACGGGACGCCUUAGAGGGUGAGAGCCCCGUACGGUUGGACACCAAGCCUCUGUAAAGCUCCUUCGACGAGUCGAGUAGUUUGGGAAUGCUGCUCUAAAUGGGAGGUAAAUUUCUUCUAAAGCUAAAUAUUGGCCAGAGACCGAUAGCGCACAAGUAGAGUGAUCGAAAGAUGAAAAGCACUUUGAAAAGAGGGUUAAAUAGCACGUGAAAUUGUUGAAAGGGAAGCGUUUGCGACCAGACUUUUUCUUAGCGGAUCAUCCGGUGUUCUCACCGGUGCACUUCGCUAGGUUAAGGCCAGCAUCGGUUUCUGUAGGGGGAUAAAAGCUUGGGGAAUGUAGCUCCCUCGGGAGUGUUAUAGCCUCUUGCAUAAUACCCUUACGGGGACCGAGGACCGCGCUUUUGCAAGGAUGCUGGCGUAAUGGUUGUCAACGACCCGUCUUGAAACACGGACCAAGGAGUCGAACAUUUGUGCGAGUGUUUGGGUGUUAAACCCUCACGCGUAAUGAAAGUGAACGGAGGUGAGAGCCCUUACGGGUGCAUCAUCGACCGAUCCUGAUGUCUUCGGAUGGAUUUGAGUAAGAGCAUAACUGUUCGGACCCGAAAGAUGGUGAACUAUGCGUGGAUAGGGUGAAGCCAGAGGAAACUCUGGUGGAGGCUCGCAGCGGUUCUGACGUGCAAAUCGAUCGUCAAAUCUGCGCAUGGGGGCGAAAGACUUAUCGAWCCAUUCCUAGUAGCGUGGUUACCGCCGAGUUUUCCCUCAGGAAUGGCCC
rnacentral:rRNA from 1 species